GGGGACGACCGGAAUUGACAGCUUGCUGAAAUUGCGGGUUAGCAGGUCGGGAGUUGGUAGUAUUUCCUGUACAACAAACUACCAAACAAUAACAGGCGAGUAUAACUACGCCAUGGCUGCCUAAUCCGGAGGAUUAAGCAAUAGCCAUCGUCUCCCCGACCUACGUGCUGCUGGUUGGAUCAGGGGGCGUCGACAUGCAGCGCUGGUUGGGUUUAUGGUGUUAACCGCCCAAUGAGACACAAGCACCUACGGUUGCGGGACGGCCUGACGCGAGCCUGCCCAAUACUCGACAAUCAAAAUCGCGGCUAAACCUGUAG
rnacentral:tmRNA from 1 species